rnacentral:rRNA from 1 species
AGAGUUUGAUCAUGGCUCAGAACGUACGCUGGCGGCACGCCUAAUACAUGCAAGUCGAACGAAGUAGCAAUACUUAGUGGCAGACGGGUGAGUAACAUGUGGGUAUCUUCCCUUUGGUGAGGAAUAACACGAGGAAACUUGUGCUAAUACCUCAUAAGUCUUUACGGAGAAAGCUUUAUGCGCCAAUGGAUGAGCCUGCACUUGAUUAGUUUGUUGGUGGGGUAAUGGCCUACCAAGACUGUGAUCAAUAGCUGAUUUGAGAGGAUGAUCAGCCACAUUGGGACUGAGACACGGCCCAAACUCCUACGGGAGGCAGCAGUAGGGAAUCUUGCACAAUGGAGGAAACUCUGAUGCAGCGAUGCCGCGUGAGUGAAGAAGGCCUUUGGGUUGUAAAGCUCUUUCGUCGGGGAAGAAAAUGACUGUACCCGAAUAAGAAGGUCCGGCUAACUUCGUGCCAGCAGCCGCGGUAAUACGAAGGGACCUAGCGUAGUUCGGAAUUACUGGGCUUAAAGAGUUCGUAGGUGGUUAAAAAAGUUGGUGGUGAAAGCCCAGAGCUUAACUCUGGAACGGCCAUCAAAACUUUUUAGCUAGAGUUUGAUAGAGGAAAGCAGAAUUUCUAGUGUAGAGGUGAAAUUCGUAGAUAUUAGAAAGAAUACCAAUUGCGAAGGCAGCUUUCUGGAUCAUUACUGACACUGAGGAACGAAAGCAUGGGUAGCGAAGAGGAUUAGAUACCCUCGUAGUCCAUGCCGUAAACGAUGUGUGUUAGAUGUUGGAAAUUUAUUUUCAGUAUCGCAGCGAAAGCAAUAAACACACCGCCUGGGGAGUACGACCGCAAGGUUAAAACUCAAAUGAAUUGACGGGGACCCGCACAAGUAGUGGAGCAUGUGGUUUAAUUCGAA